rnacentral:RNase_P_RNA from 1 species
GGAGUCGGCCGGGCAGCCGCUGUGCUUACGCGCAGAGGAAAGUCCGGGCUCCGCAGGACGGGAUGCCAGGUAACGCCUGGGGGGUGUGAGCCCACGGACAGUGCCACAGAAAACACACCGCCGAUGGCCGCAAGGCUCAGGCAAGGGUGAAAAGGUGCGGUAAGAGCGCACCGCGCGACGGGCAACCGUUCGCGGCACGGAAAACCCCAUCCGGAGCAAGGCCAAAUAGGGAAGCAGCGGG